rnacentral:rRNA from 1 species
AUUGAACGCUGGCGGCAGGCCUAACACAUGCAAGUCGAACGAGUGGCGGACGGGUGAGUAAUGUCUGGGAAUCUGCCUGAUGGAGGGGGAUAACUACUGGAAACGGUAGCUAAUACCGCAUACCAUCAGAUGUGCCCAGAUGGGAUUAGCUUGUUGGUGGGGUAACGGCUCACCAAGGCGACGAUCCCUAGCUGGUCUGAGAGGAUGACCAGCAACACUGGAACUGAGACACGGUCCAGACGCCUACGGGAGGCAGCAGUGGGGAAUAUUGGACAAUGGGCGAAAGCCUGAUGCAGCCAUGCCGCGUGUAUGAAGAAGGCCUGCGGGUUGUAAAGUACUUUCAGCGGGGAGGCGUUACCAGAAGAAGAAGCAACGGCUAACUACGUGCCAGCAGCCGCGGUAAUAC